AAAUUUGAAGGUCGCAAUUUUUUCGUUUGGACUUAUAAUAAAACACAGAAGUACUUAUACGAAACAGCUUACACGCCUGACGAAAGCUCAUUUUAAAUCGCUUCCCAAGAUAGAUAACAAGCUCGCGCUUUUCGGCAGGCAUU
rnacentral:sRNA from 1 species